rnacentral:rRNA from 1 species
AGUGAACGCUGGCGGUAGGCCUAACACAUGCAAGUCGAACGGCAGCACAGUAAGAGCUUGCUCUUACGGGUGGCGAGUGGCGGACGGGUGAGGAAUACAUCGGAAUCUACUUUUUCGUGGGGGAUAACGUAGGGAAACUUACGCUAAUACCGCAUACGACCUACGGGUGAAAGCAGGGGAUCUUCGGACCUUGCGCGAUUGAAUGAGCCGAUGUCGGAUUAGCUAGUUGGCGGGGUAAAGGCCCACCAAGGCGACGAUCCGUAGCUGGUCUGAGAGGAUGAUCAGCCACAACUGAACUGGGACCAGGUCCAGGCUCCUAAGGGAGGCAGGAGUGGGGAAUUUUUGACAAUGGGCGGAAACCUGGUCCAGCCAUACCGCGUGGGUGAAAAAGGGCUUUGGGUUGUAAAGCCCUUUUGUUGGGAAAGAAAAGCAGCAGGUUAAUACCCCGCUGUUCUGACGGUACCCAAAGAAUAAGCACCGGCUAACUUCGUG